rnacentral:rRNA from 1 species
GCUUCUCUUGAGAGCGGCGGACGGGUGAGUAAUGCCUAGGAAUCUGCCUGGUAGUGGGGGAUAACGUCCGGAAACGGACGCUAAUACCGCAUACGUCCUACGGGAGAAAGCAGGGGACCUUCAGGCCUUGCGCUAUCACAUGAGCCUAGGUCGGAUUAGCUAGUUGGUGGGGUAAUGGCUCACCAAGGCGACGAUCCGUAACUGGUCUGAGAGGAUGAUCAGUCACACUGGAACUGAAACACGGUCCAGACUCCUACGGGAGGCAGCAGUGGGGAAUAUUGGACAAUGGGCGAAAGCCUGAUCCAGCCAUGCCGCGUGUGUGAAGAAGGUCUUCGGAUUGUAAAGCACUUUAAGUUGGGAGGAAGGGCAGUGAAUUAGUACUUUGCUGUUUUGACGUUACCGACAGAAUAAGCACCGGCUAACUCUGUGCCAGCAGCCGCGGUAAUACAGAGGGUGCAAGCGUUAAUC